rnacentral:rRNA from 2 species
GAUGAACGCUGGCGGCGUGCCUAAUACAUGCAAGUCGAACGAGUUCUCGUUGAUGAUCGGUGCUUGCACCGAGAUUCAACAUAGAACGAGUGGCGGACGGGUGAGUAACACGUGGGUAACCUGCCCUUAAGUGGGGGAUAACAUUUGGAAACAGAUGCUAAUACCGCAUAGAUCCAAGAACCGCAUGGUUCUUGGCUGAAAGAUGGCGUAAGCUAUCGCUAUUGGAUGGACCCGCGGCGUAUUAGCUAGUUGGUGAGGUAAUGGCUCACCAAGGCGAUGAUACGUAGCCGAACUGAGAGGUUGAUCGGCCACAUUGGGACUGAGACACGGCCCAAACUCCUACGGGAGGCAGCAGUAGGGAAUCUUCCACAAUGGACGCAAGUCUGAUGGAGCAACGCCGCGUGAGUGAAGAAGGCUUUCGGGUCGUAAAACUCUGUUGUUGGAGAAGAAUGGUCGGCAGAGUAACUGUUGUCGGCGUGACGGUAUCCAACCAGAAAGCCACGGCUAACUACGUGCCAGCAGCCGCGGUAAUACGUAGGUGGCAAGCGUUAUCCGGAUUUAUUGGGCGUAAAGCGAGCGCAGGCGGUUUUUUAAGUCUGAUGUGAAAGCCCUCGGCUUAACCGAGGAAGCGCAUCGGAAACUGGGAAACUUGAGUGCAGAAGAGGACAGUGGAACUCCAUGUGUAGCGGUGAAAUGCGUAGAUAUAUGGAAGAACACCAGUGGCGAAGGCGGCUGUCUGGUCUGUAACUGACGCUGAGGCUCGAAAGCAUGGGUAGCGAACAGGAUUAGAUACCCUGGUAGUCCAUGCCGUAAACGAUGAAUGCUAGGUGUUGGAGGGUUUCCGCCCUUCAGUGCCGCAGCUAACGCAUUAAGCAUUCCGCCUGGGGAGUACGACCGCAAGGUUGAAACUCAAAGGAAUUGACGGGGGCCCGCACAAGCGGUGGAGCAUGUGGUUUAAUUCGAAGCAACGCGAAGAACCUUACCAGGUCUUGACAUCUUUUGAUCACCUGAGAGAUCAGGUUUCCCCUUCGGGGGCAAAAUGACAGGUGGUGCAUGGUUGUCGUCAGCUCGUGUCGUGAGAUGUUGGGUUAAGUCCCGCAACGAGCGCAACCCUUAUGACUAGUUGCCAGCAUUUAGUUGGGCACUCUAGUAAGACUGCCGGUGACAAACCGGAGGAAGGUGGGGAUGACGCCAAAUCAUCAUGCCCCUUAUGACCUGGGCUACACACGUGCUACAAUGGAUGGUACAACGAGUUGCGAGACCGCGAGGUCAAGCUAAUCUCUUAAAGCCAUUCUCAGUUCGGACUGUAGGCUGCAACUCGCCUACACGAAGUCGGAAUCGCUAGUAAUCGCGGAUCAGCACGCCGCGGUGAAUACGUUCCCGGGCCUUGUACACACCGCCCGUCACACCAUGAGAGUUUGUAACACCCGAAGCCGGUGGCGUAACCCUUUUAGGGAGCGAGCCGUCUAAGGUGGGACAAAUGAUUAGGGUG